rnacentral:tRNA from 1 species
UCCCGGUUAGCUCAUUUGGUAGAGUGUUCCACUUGAAAUGGAGAAAGCCCUGGUUCGACACCAAGACCAGGCG